UUGUAAUAAAAGAACCUAGCAUGGUAAGCCAAGACAUGAUAUAAAAUUACAUUGUUGCCCUCCGAACUUUCCUUUUCGUUUUUUCCUUGCAAGUGUUUGUGUUUGGGUAGUUUUGGUAUUUGACCUACAUGGUGAAAAGUCAAAUUUACCUUUUUAGUUGCGUACUGCUUGUUCUUAUAUGUUUGGGUAUUUUAGACUUUUUAAUUCCAAGUACAGGACUGCGUUGCGUAAUUUUUGGCCCAAUCUGGUCGCGUUUACCCCUGUUUUCCGGUUCUUUGUCGACAAGAAAAACGUACGGAGGAAAAAGAAAACUCAUGAGACUCUCAGCAUCAAAUCCCGCAAAUCCGGACUCUACCAGCGGCGCCGAAUAUAGUCUUCUCUCCGCUUUGCUUCUUUCACACGGUCUCUCUCUUUCUUCUUGCUCGCCACAUUUGCUUCCUCACACAGCCCUGGCCCAAGCUGAAGAUGACAAGCCCAAGUUGUGGGGAUUUUUUCAGUUAUGUUUGAAGUAGAAAAUUAUGCCUCAAAUAGACACAUGAGUCUCCAACCCCAAAUCGAACAUCAAUGCCAAUUUCGCCCAUGGUCAGGAUAACAAAAUUUAAAUUUCUCAGUUUCUUGUGGGAUCCAUUGUCAUGGGUCAUGGAAGCAGCAACAGCGAUGGCAAUUGUCAUUGGUAAUGGGAGAAAUGAGUUUAUUAGACCUAGGAUUUGGUUUAUAGAUAAUUUCUUUUUUCUUACUAGGGCAUUUGACUUUGUCUUGCUUAUUGCACAAUGCUAAGUACAUCUAAUUAGUAAUCUGUUCCCUUGCCAUGUUUCUGAUAUGUUAUCUGUCAUACUAUUGCAUGGGAUUUGUGCUUUGGAGGUGAUAUGUUCACAAAAGGUCCGGGUUAAAAUUUCAAACAUUUUGGUUGCUUUGUUUUGUUCUCAAAUCUGGUGUUGUACUCUUUGCCGUUUUUCAUAGUGUGUAUGGGUUGGGUUUAUACAGGAUUGUGAUUAUAAUAAGUAAAAUUUGUUGAAGAUUAAGCGGUAAUUUCGAAGAUGAAGAGGUCUAGAGAUGAUGUGUUCAUGGCUGCUCAACUUAAACGGCUCAUCGCCUAAUCUCACGCCGAUCCGAUCUCUGAGCAUCCUCAAAUGAUGUCUACAUUGGGCACUUAGAAACUAACAACAAACGACGUGUUCCUUGAUGUCAUGAAAGAUUUCAAGGCUCAAAGAAUUGACACUAUUGGUAAAAGAGAGGAGCUAUCUUUCGCUUUCAUAUGAAAACAAUCAUCAAAAGAAACUAUCAAAGCGGCUGUAUUCAUGCAGCAGUUUUUGGUCUACAGUCGAGGGGCUAUCGCUUCAAUUAAAGCUACUGCUUCGAUGCCGAAAACAUCAUAUAGGUGGAGGCUCUGGUAAUAUGUCUCUCUGGAUCCAUAACAAGAUAGGAAUUUUAAAAGGCAAUCUCCUUUUCUCCAUCUAUGUUAUGAGUAUUUUAUCACUUACUAUGUUCAACCUUGCUAUGCCAAAACAGUGAACAGAUCACCCCAUAUACUUUUUUCCUAUAUGUUUUUCUAUUUUAUGACCAUUGAAUGUACAUAGCCUAGGUCUCUUUGUUGUAGAUGAUUGGCUUGCCAAAUUCUGUACUUCAGCUGCUCAUAUUUCCUAUUAUUUAAGCAGAUAUUGAUUAUUUA